ACCAUCCAACGGUGGCUGGACACUCAGUUGCUAUCCCAAGCAAAUCCCAUGUGCGCUUUGGGUUAUUCGAUAUGCACGCGGCCGCCGCCGCCGCUCGCCCGCCGUUCGUCCCCAGUAACGGAAGCUUCUAGAAACCUCACCAGCCGCCGCGGAUGCGCACCUGCCUUCUCCCGGCGUCCCCCUUCCCAGCGCGCGUUACGGGCGCCAGCCUCCCACACCGCGACGCACUGCACUGGCCGUGAGAGACUGGCAGGCUUGGAACUUCGGAUCGCAUUGCGCUGCUGGGUGGUCGCUGAGUCCUGGAGUCGCCGCGGCGAACGGAUUGUAACCAGCUUCUGUGCGUGUAUCAGUGAUCUCCUGGAGUUCUCCAGCAACUAAGCAUCAAACCGAGAGGCAGCAUGGAUGGUAUCUCUCUGCAGAGUUGAAGACAGGAAGGUUAGGAGGAAUAAAACAGUAUAUGAUACUCUUGAAAUAAAGCUCUUGCUUCUAUGCAUGUGAACACAUGUGAGCCGUACACAUUCAGGCAGGAAUAUCAACAAUCACAGAAUGACAAAACAAAUCUUGAAAGGUAUUUGGAAGAGUACGUACAAAGUUCCUGGUACGGCAACUUCCCUGGACAACUAGGUUUGUCAUGUUACCAAUGAGGGAGGGACUCCAUAGUAGUGAAGUGAAAUUUUAGUCCCAAGGUAAAAAGAAUAUGCUUUGCUGCCUGCGUAAAGUCAUGAUAUAUGCUACUCCCUCCGAUCCGAAUUAAUUGAUGCAACCUCUAUACAUUGCAUCAUUUAAUUCGGAUCGGAGGGAGUACUGAUCUUGCCGUGAAGUAAUUGGAAGCAUUUUACUGGCCUCCGAAAUGAAAAACUGGAUAUAACAUUCUAGUUGAAGAUAAAGGAUUGUUACGAUUAAUUUCUCGCAAGGGUCCUGGGCUCAUUGGAAAAUUAAAAUCUUGUGCCGCCGCAAAGAUUAGUUUACACUAUGAGAAUAGGGGAUUCAAUAAUAUUCUUCUCUUUGGCUGCGUAGCUAACCAGAAAUGUUUCCAUUUGCUUUUAUUUUGUGAUGCUGUCAAAGUAACAACUGAAGUGAGCUUAAAUGCUGUUACAGCUCUUAGCAUCCUCUCCCAUGCUCUGCAUGUUGGCAGUUAUGUUGUAUACUUCUUCUGGUCAGUAGAUAGGUCUAUUCAAUAUGCCUGGGACCAUUUUCUUGGGCAAUAAUAAAGGCCAGUCACCACUAGUAUCAUUACUUUCUGAUCCUUGAGCAAUCUAAUCAUCUACCAGACAUUAAAUAUUUUUUCUCGUUGAUCACAGGUAAAGAACCUUGUGUUAUUUGUGUCGCUUCCUAUUUCAUAUAUCCUCUUCUGACAAUCUAAAUAAUAAGAAUAUACUCCCUCUGUACACUAAUAUAAGACGUUUUAGAUCACUACUUUACUACUAGUUAAGUUGAAAUAAGCCUUAUACACAGUAAUACAUUAUCUCCAUGGUUGUAGAUGUUUCAUGCACCUUUCUUGCGACGCGUGGCUGUUACUGGAAACUUACAACCACUUGAAAUUGACCAUGUCUUGCUUAUUUGCCUUCGCCUGGGAGUAUCAAGAAAGAAAUAUCCUGCUUUCUGGAUCCUGUGAGCAAAUGUGCAAGUUGCGCGGCUUCAGCUUAUCCUGCCUCACAAAGUCACAAUCCACUGACUUCCAUCACGGGCUUCCUGGGAGCUUUGCAUCUUGGUGACAUCUGUGCCCGCAUCUGGAAAUGAUUUGGUUUUCCAUGCACAGAAGUGCAAAUUCGUGGAGAAUGGAGAUGACUCUGGGAUUUUCGGCCCAUUUUCGCAGAGUAGUGGCUUCCGUGUUGUUGACCAGCAGGGACCCCUAUGUGUAAGAAUUUUAUAAACCACUGACCGGUUGGAUUAGGUUUCAGCUUGUAGAUUUUGCAUGUGAUUUGAGUUUUGCCGUUUUGGAAAUGGAAACCGAUGUAACUGGUUAAUUGCAAGACUGGAUUUUCUCUUGAAAAGAAGUACUGAAUUGGGCAAAGACUAGUUUUGACUGA